rnacentral:lncRNA from 1 species
AGAGGAAAAUAAGAACACAGGAUUUACAGGCAGCAAAGCUCCCCGUUAAGGAGAACGUACGAGUGAGGCAGGAAGGCUGGUAGGUGGGAACCAGAGGAGAGGGACCUGGGCCACCAGUGCAGAACAAUGAUGAUUGAUUGAUGAAUAAACUAUUAAAUCAGAGGAUUCUUUGUCUAGGACAGAAAGGAAGUUUUGAGAACCUUUGCGAGAUCAGUAUCUGCCUUCAUUUUAAUGUAAACAUCAAAGACAUUCCACUGUUGACAUGUUAAAGUAUUUGGAGGAUAAAUAACUGCCUGAACAGAAAAACAAGAUGUCUUGUCUUCUGGAUGAAUUUGUAAGAAGAGUUUAUUUCAAAUGAAAUAGAAUUCUCUGGUCAACAGUCUCAAAAUAGACAUAACUAAAGUGGAUUUAAUGCAAUGCCCAAACAAGAAGAUGUUUACCACAUGUGGAGAUGAGCAUGAAGAAUAAGCAUGAGUCAAGAAUGUCCCACCCCAGUGCCCCUUUGAAACAUUUUUAUGUGGUUCCGUGAAAUAGUGCAUAUUUUAAUAGUUGCCAUGAGGCCACACUGAGGUUUUUGUUCUUAGACAGUCAGACUCAAAACAUUUACUGUGGGCAUCGAGCGGGUUUUACCUACUCACUCCUCCGUCUUCUUUUAUCACGAAUCAGGUCUUGAUUUUCUUCUGGGCAUUGCCUCUCCCCAGGCCCUGCAGUCCAGUGAAAUGAUUUACAGUGUCCCACCUACUCUGAGAUAAGAUCUUCUCUGCCCUUAGGUUCUGGAAGAUUUAUAGCUCCCUGGAGAGAGCGGAGCUCCUUUUCUCUGGGCUCUCACGCUGAAGGAACCACCCAUGCCUGCAGCUCAUGGUUCUAACCCCAGGGCUCAUGGCAGUUCUUUGCAAAACGAUGCCAACACACAGAGAGAACUUGAGCUCUGGCGGCAUUUAGCAUCAUUAGAAGCUAGAUCAGCCCUCAAAGUUCCCAGUUCCUGCAGCCGAAACCUUCCCUUUUGCUGAAGCUACUUUGAGUUGUAUUUUUAUCAUUGUCCAUCAAAAGAAACACUUACUGCUUAUCCAAAAGAAGCCAGAGGUGAGAAUGACCAACUUGGUGCAAACGAAAGUAACUCAUCAACAGUUCUGAGUAAUAGAAAAUCCUAACAAAAAUCUCUUUUGGAUAAGUAGUAAGUGUUUGUUGGUUUGGGAUCCUAAAUUUAGACAGCUCAAAUAACUAACAUUUUCUUGUACCCUAGAGACAAGUGUUAAAUAAACUGACUGAUCCCAAGGAUUGUUCAAAGAUG